GCCUUCGGGUUGUAAAGCACUUUCAGCGAGGAGGAAGGGUUCGGUGUUAAUAGCACCGUUCAUUGACGUUACUCGCAGAAGAAGCACCGGCUAACUCCGUGCCAGCAGCCGCGGUAAUACGGAGGGUGCAAGCGUUAAUCGGAAUUACUGGGCGUAAAGCGCACGCAGGCGGUUUGUUAAGUCAGAUGUGAAAUCCCCGAGCUUAACUUGGGAACUGCAUUUGAAACUGGCAAGCUAGAGUCUUGUAGAGGGGGGUAGAAUUCCAGGUGUAGCGGUGAAAUGCGUAGAGAUCUGGAGGAAUACCGGUGGCGAAGGCGGCCCCCUGGACAAAGACUGACGCUCAGGUGCGAAAGCGUGGGGAGCAAACAGGAUUAGAUACCCUGGUAGUCCACGCUGUAAACGAUGUCGACUUGGAGGUUGUGCCCUUGAGGCGUGGCUUCCGGAGCUAACGCGUUAAGUCGACCGCCUGGGGAGUACGGCCGCAAGGUUAAAACUCAAAUGAAUUGACGGGGGCCCGCACAAGCGGUGGAGCAUGUGGUUUAAUUCGAUGCAACGCGAAGAACCUUACCUACUCUUGACAUCCACAGAACUUUCCAGAGAUGGAUUGGUGCCUUCGGGAACUGUGAGACAGGUGCUGCAUGGCUGUCGUCAGCUCGUGUUGUGAAAUGUUGGGUUAAGUCCCGCAACGAGCGCAACCCUUUAUCCUUUGUUGCCAGCGCGUAAUGGCGGGAACUCAAAGGAGACUGCCGGUGAUAAACCGGAGGAAGGUGGGGGAUGACGUCAAGUCAUCAUGGCCCUUACGAGUAGGGCUACACACGUGCUACAAUGGCAUAUACAAAGAGAAGCGAACUCGCGAGAGCAAGCGGACCUCAUAAAGUAUGUCGUAGUCCGGAUCGGAGUCUGCAACUCGACUCCGUGAAGUCGGAAUCGCUAGUAAUCGUAGAUCAGAAUGCUACGGUGAAUACGUUCCCGGGCCUUGUACACACCGCCCGUCACACCAUGGGAGUGGGUUGCAAAAGAAGUAGGUAGCUUAACCUUCGGGAGGGCGCUUACCACUUUGUGAUUCAUGACUGGGGUGAAGUCGUAACAAGGUAACCGUAGGGGA
rnacentral:rRNA from 1 species